rnacentral:sRNA from 1 species
UUGACAGCCACAUAGAAUUAAGUCCUCUGAUACAACACAGGCAUGAUCACUGAAGCUUCCCUACACUGCCCCACCAAUGUGCUCCAAACUUGUUCUGGAGAGGCUAGAAGGUAGUUCAGUCUCUCUGUCCAUUGAAUCUUUAGCCUCU